rnacentral:sRNA from 1 species
ACAACAACAAUAACAAGCAGACCCACAAUAAGAACAAAACGUACCGACUCCAGCAGAACAACGACAAGAAGGCGGAGGCGUAGCUAACUGAUUCUUUUGGAGAGGACUUGCCAACGGGGUUCGCCCCACAACCAGGCCGAGAACAACAAAACUGCUCAAGCAGUACCCGAACUGGAUGGAUCUACGGAUGAUGGCAACUCAGCGACCAAAGCAAUCCGUUUGCUUUUGGCUCCCGGCGUAGGAGCAACCCCCAAAGGCCAUGGCCGGAGGGAACGAGCGAUCCAACAAAAACAAUACGCUCGGAAAUACUAAUAACAACAAAGCACGCGACAAUAUUUUAAAGGGGAGCUUCGGCUCCCCUAGUGCUUUGUGGCCCAUCGCA